AAAGGUGUGUAGGAGACAACCAGCAAUAAACGGGAGAGGGGAAGGUGAUGGAGGGUAAGGCUGGACAUGCCAUUACUGGGCAUGGUUACUCAGUCUUCACAGGAAGAAGAAAACAAACCUACCGUAUGGAAAAUGGGGGGUGUUUACCUUUAAAAAACCCCUCAACAAGCUGUGUGGGGGGUAGCAAGAAGGAGAAGAAUAGAGGCAUGGAUAGGAGAAAGAGAAGCCUAAGAGUAAAGGUGUGGCAUUUUGGAGACAGGAGAGAAAGUUUUUGUGCCCUCGCGGGUUCUUUCUCUACAAAUUUUAUUUACAAAAUCUCUGAUUUUCUUUAUGAUGAUUCUAUCACUAAAUUGCUGGCAAAUGAUUAGAAUAGAAAACACUUUAGGAAUUGAACAUACAACAGAAGAAAUCUUCCACCCCUUAGCAUUAAGCUUCAAUUGUAGGUCGAAUUAGUAAUAAGGCUGAUCUAGGUACUUAGAUAAUGAACCAAAUGCUGCACAAAGGUGAUCACUGUAGGUAUGUUGCUGUGUAUGAGAUGCUGUGGAGGUUAAGUUUUAAAAGAAUUAAUUUAUGAAAUUAGAUUUGCAAGUGGAAAUUCCCUAUUAAUGCAGUUAAGGAAUACUAGCUUCAAACACCUUGUUUUUGUUGAGAAAUGAUUUUGCAACUACUCCACAUGUAAUGUUUUUGUUGAGAAAUUUCCUUUAAACUUUGUUAGUUAUAGUCCCUUCAGUCAAUCCUCAUAGAUGACGCUAAAAUCUGCUUUAGAAGAUGUUAGAUAUCUCUUUUCAGCCUUGUUAAUCAAUUUUGUUAGAAGUUAAAAAAAAAGUUGCAGCUAGUAUUACCAUAAAAUUACUCCAGUUCGUCAGUGAAGUGCAGCAGAUAACGAAGGUAGAUAAAUGGCAGCUAAGGGACGAAAUGGGUUGUUUGCAUAUGGGGAAUAUUAUUAAAAAUAAAAUAAAUGAGUAAAGCUCAGUCAGCUGAAAAUGGUGAAGCAAAUAGAGGCAAAUAUCUAUACAUAGAAAUAAAUGAGUAAACAUAAACUCUUACUCAACUUCAAUAACCAUUAAAUAUUAGAAGAAACCACCAGUAAAUGUGAUGAAGUAAAUGAGUUUUAGUUCUGGCAAUCAUCAACUUAAUAGCCUCUGUUAUGGACUAAGUAGUUGGGUUGCCAUAUAGAUGAGUAAACUACUAGUUUGAGGCUCUCGGGUUAAGUUACCGGCGAUGGGCUUCCUAAGAGAGCUAAGACACCAAUAUGCCCUAUAUCUGCCAUUAUAACAACCCCUUCUCAAUGCUGAAUUUGACUUUAAUGAGCCAUGGCUAAGGGAAUGAUCAUGGGGAAUCUUGCUGCCACUAAUCAUAUACCACUUGAAACUAAACUUUUAAAUUAAAUUGAGAUUGUCGUGCAAUUCAUGGAAGUUGGAUCUUGCUGACUUGAGUUCAUUCAACUUCCUUCUUGAUGGAUACACAUCUAGUUAGUUGGAACCGACCAUAGUUGAAGCUUCUUUGUAUACAUAUCUAGUUGGAGUCACCAUAGAAUGAUAGGAAGACUCGGGCUAGAGAUGACCCAAGAAUUGAACCUCCAGGAUUAUUGAAGCGGUGACAAGCAGUCAUUGGACCGUGCCAAUGAUCGAUGCUUGUACCAUUGCUAGGGAUUAGCCAACCUUCACCUAGUCCAUGGAGGUGAAGAUUGCUAAGAGCUACCCUGGAUAUGAUACGGGAACAAUCGUACGGGUAGUGAUAACCGGAGCUAAUCAUAGUAUCGGAGGGUACAUGGGUAGUUACCUAUAGCACAGGGGUGACCAAUGCCAAGUGCUACCCGAGAUGGGGAAGAAGUUAGAUGACUAUACCACUAAGGUCACAAGGUGAUAUCAGUCGGAAGCUAAUUCUCCUAGGUGGACAGACUCUUCAGCGUUGAAGGUCACUACUUGGGAAUUCUCUGAUAAGCUCGUAUAACCCUUGGGUUCGAGGACAGAUCACAGUGUAGUAUGAGAUACACCGAAUCCCCUACCCAGACAACCAAUGCUUAGAGACCCCUACUUGCCACCAUUGCUACUGGUGCAAAAGCUCAAGAAAUGGAAGGGACCCAUGGUGUAGUGCGCAUUACACCAGCAAUCCUUUUCUAAUGAGAAGCGCUUGAAUUGAUGGGAGUAAGUCAUAUUAUACCUACCUACAUACCCUGUGCAUAAUUAGUACCCAACCCUACUGUGAAGAUGACAUAUCCUCAGCGUAGGAUGAGAUGGCUUGAAGCCUCCUGGCAGUAGAGUUCUAAUAAAGACUGCCAUCUAACAAGCCUAAACCUAUGCCCUUUCUAGUUGAUCCAAAGAUAGUUUGCUAGGUCCGCUUGGAUGGGGUGGACGGGGCAGUGGUUCACAUGGUUGGGAUUGUUACACCCCAUGAAGAUGCCCUUCUCUAGUUGAUCCAAACAUAGUUCACUAGGUCCACUUGGAUGGGGUGGACGGGGCAGCGGUUCACAUGGUUGGGAUUGUUACACCCCAUGAAGAAGCAAAAGAGAACCAAAAAAAUUGAUUUGUUGCCCUUCUCUAGUUGAUCCAGCGAUAGUUUGCUAGGUCUGCUUGGAUGGGGUGGAUGGGGCAGCAGUUCAUGUGGUUGGGAUUGUUGCACCCCAUGAAGAAACAAAAGAGAACCAAAACAAUCUGGAUGUUCAACACAACUCUUACUAUCUUCCUGGCCAGAGUAGAAGAAAGAGGUGGAAAAAAGAGGAGAGGCAGAGCAACCAAGGACAAAAUCUUAUUCCUGGCAUUGAGUUAAUCUUCUCCUGCAUAGCUAAUUUAUUUGGAUUUUCUAUCAACCACAAAUCCCAUGGAGAGGUCCCUAUUCAACUCCUAGUAUGACAGCUUGGUUUUGAAGGAUCAGUAUCUGGAAAUCAGGAUCACUAUUUGGUUUUCAAUUAUCAUUAUCUGGAAAUCAGUACAAGUUUCACUGUAUGGGUUGGGAGAGAACACACGGGUCAAUGGGGUUAAGAUUCUUCCAAAUGAAGCUUAUGCUCUUUAUACAACUGAUAUUGAUAUCUUUAAUUUAAAGUUUUAAACAUAGAUUUGUAUGGCUCCCCUCUUUUUCACAGGGAUUCAAGAAAGGGAGGUUCAGCAUAGAGUCCUAUUGAUGAAUAGCUAUGAGAUGGAUACUUUUUAUACAGCCAGUAAACUAACAUACAAGGACAUUGGGGUUUGCAGAACUUUACUGUUUUGCAGGUUCGUCUCCACUAGAUAUGGUUCAACAGUUCAUUGAUCUCAUAGGACAUACAACUGCAAUGCCCUUUUGGGUUUCUGGUAUGUCCAUACAUGCUCUGUUCUAUAGUCUUUUUAGUGUAGCAUGGUAUUGUUUGUUGGCUUUCUAAAUAUUUAGUAAGCUGAAGUAUCAGCUAACUGAUAUUUGUUUGGUUACGUAUUUUACCGAGUAGUAAAGUUUGUUUACCAUUGGAAUCUAGUAAUUUUGCUUUAGGGUUUAAUAUAUUUUUGGAUUCCUUGUUUCAGGAGCUCUCAUAGGUAUGUUGGAUUUAUUCAUUUUCUUUAAUAGUUCAAAUGAAAUACAGGGAUAUGAUUUUCCUUAGCUUCAGGUUAGCAGGUUUUAUAAAAUAGAGAAUGAAAUCCCAUUUUCUAGUAUUGAGAUAUUUGGAAUAUUUUGAAAUAUAUUAGGUAGGUGCCAUUGUUUUGUUCAAGGAAAAACUAAUGGGAUUAUUUGUGGGCAGUAUUAAUACAAAGAAGCUACAAUCAUUGAAAUUGACGUGCUUGAUGAGGUUGACAUGAAUGAAUACAAAAGGGGAUCUGAUAACAUUUUAGAUUGUUUUCAUACCAUUUUGUGUGACUAACUGCCUUUAAUUGCCUUUAAUAUGUGUGUUUCUUGUGUAUACCAUUAUUUGGUUACAGACAUUUUUUCCGUUUUGUUAUUGUCCAUUUCUGUCAAUGUUUUGUUUUGUCUUUUGUUAUUUCUCUUUGUUUGUUCAAUUUUUUUUCAUGUGUGUGUUUUGUUUUUAUUUUUUAUUUUUUUCUGUAUAGUGUGCACGCUGGUCUGUCUGUUUAUCUUUUUUUUCCAUUUAUAUGUGGUCUGUCUGUUUAUCUUACUCAUCUUUUAUUUGUUCUAUUAUGUUUUGUUUUAUUUUGGUGUCACACAUUUGUGGAGGAGCAAAGGAAGAGCCAAACAAGUAAGAGGCAGAGCAACCAAGGGCAAAAUGUUCUUCCACGCAAUUCUUCUUAGGCACCCACCAAUCUUUAAUUUCAAGAGGUCAAAGUUGUGAAUAUCAAGUUUUUCGCUGGCAUAAAUAACAAUGACGUUCAGCUGGUGUAUGGCACGAGAUGCAGAACCCAACAAGAGUUCAUAUAACCGAUGCAGAGAAGUAGAUAUGGGAAGUUCCUUAUGACUUGCAUGGUAGAUCACAAGUAGCUUCUCUGAGGCAAUGAGUAGAUCACAUAGCUAAUCCAGUGUUUGAAUUCUCUGUGUUCUAAGGCAAUGAGUUGAUCUUCUUCAGCACCGCUAAUCCAUUUUGAUUUUCUAUCGAGCGCAAAUCCUAUUCAACUCCUCAUAUAGCAACUUGGUCUUCAUUCAGUAUAUGUUACUUCCGUAAGAAUUUAUAACCAAUGGUAGCCUUAGUGAGUUGAUUUUGGUUGGGUGAGCAGAUACAAAAUUGUUGAGGGGAAUGGCUCAGGGGUUGUGCUUGGAGAGAUGUGAAGCCAACUAAUGGUCAGUCACAUGUCGGCUUGGAUGGCUGAUUUUUGCUUAGCCAAACUCAUGGAGAGGGAAGCCAACCAUGUGCUCCAACACAUACACUGCACCAGGUAUUGGUAGCAGGCAUAUGUAGCAAGCUUACUAUUGUAGAAUGAAUAUGAAGAUGAAAAACACAGGGAAAAUUCUUCUGUUUGUGAUGUGUAUCACACUGAUUCCCAUUAAAGGCAGCCCAUUAAACAAUGUAUUGGUAGCGGGCAUAUGUAGCAAGCCUACCAUUGUAGUAUGAAUAUGAAGAUGAAAAACACGGGGAAAAUUGUUCUGUUUGUGAUGUGUAUCACACUUAUUCUCAUUAAAGGCAGCCCAUUAAACAAUGUGAAUACAGAAAUCACUGCAAUACUUAACACAGGAGGGACUUUUGCUGCUGAAGCUCCACCACCUCUCCCACAAAUUACUGGGCUGGCCUUUUUGUAUGACAUGUGCACAACACCAACUGAUCCUAAUCCUCAGAUAACUGAAUUCUGUACCUGCAUACAGCUGCAAUGCCCACUAGGCUUCUGCAUGUUGCAGGGAAAAAUAUUCUUGGAAUAGGUAGGUUGAAGGCGACAACAAUGAGUGUCUUAAUACCUUGAUAACAAGGAGAUCUCAAAGAGAGUUGACCAAUUUUUUGAACUAGUUAUUUUUCACAAUUAUAGUUGGAGAAAGCCUAUGACUGACAUAUCUAGUGUGUAUCUAGAGAAGCAAGGGAUUAAAUUAGGCAUUGACCUAAUAUCAUUGUAACAUGUACAAAUAUAUCAUUUAACAAUAAAGUUUUUUUAUUGGAAGGGGCUAAAAACACCUUUUAAAGACCAAAGCGAAUAAUCAGUGGCCAUGGUUAUUCGUUAAGGUCGUGUGUUUGUUCAACUCCUUAAAGAAUGGUUGAUAGGCCAAGACCAUUCUUUAAGAUAAUAUAUAUCUCCUUCUUUGGAUUUUUGAAUAA